UACGUAGGGUGCAGGCGUUACUCGGAAUUACUGGGCGUAAAGCGUGCGCAGGCGGUUUCUUAAGACAGGUGUGAAAUCCCCGGGCUUAACCUGGGAACUGCGCUUGUAACUGAGAGGCUUGAGUGUGGCAGAGGGGGGUGGAAUUCCACGUGUAGCAGUGAAAUGCGUAGAGAUGUGGAGGAACACCGAUGGCGAAGGCAGCCCCCUGGGGUAACACUGACGCUCAUGCACGAAAGCGUGGGGAGCAAACAGG
rnacentral:rRNA from 1 species